rnacentral:snoRNA from 1 species
GCCGAUGAUGAGUGGCUUCGGGUCCGAGGGGUGAGGACACCAGCUAUCGCUGAGG